GAUGAACGCUGGCGGCGUGCCUAAUACAUGCAAGUCGAGCGAACGGACGAGAAGCUUGCUUCUCUGAUGUUAGCGGCGGACGGGUGAGUAACACGUGGAUAACCUACCUAUAAGACUGGGAUAACUUCGGGAAACCGGAGCUAAUACCGGAUAAUAUUUUGAACCGCAUGGUUCAAAAGUGAAAGACGGUCUUGCUGUCACUUAUAGAUGGAUCCGCGCUGCAUUAGCUAGUUGGUAAGGUAACGGCUUACCAAGGCAACGAUGCGUAGCCGACCGGUGAGGAUGAUCGGCCACACGAGAAGUGAGACACGGUCCAGACUCCUACGAGAGGCACCAGUAGGGAAUCUGCCGCAGUGGGCGAGAGCCUGGCGCAGCAACGCCGCGUCAGUGAUGCAGGUCUUCGGAUCGGAAAACUCUGUUUUUAGGGAAGAACAGAUGUCUCAGGAGCUGUGCACGUCGUGACGGUACCUGGUCAGAAAGCCACGGCUAACUACGUG
rnacentral:rRNA from 1 species